AUGAGGCAAUGGACUCAGCCAACAGACUCUUGGAUAUAUCCGGAGGAGGCCCGAACAAAUUAUUUAUCCUGGCUCUUACUCUUGGGAUCACUGGCAUGGAUUUCGGUGCAGUGCCACCCUCUCAGCCUGGCAACCAAGGCCUCAGCCUGCAUUUCCAGCUCCUGCUGCUCCCUGCCGCGGCCGCGGCCAAUCCGAGCCUCCAGUUCGCUAAGGUCAGCUCAACAGCUUCCCCAGGCCAGUGUUCAAGCUCUCGUCCAGCACCAAGGGCCAGCAUCUCACCCUGAGGCUGCAAGUGCAAAGGCGCCCUUGCUCUUCCUUCGGUGGCGUCCUGCCCACAGCGACCCCUCGGCUGCCCGACAGCAAGCCCACUCCACCAACUCCCUCCUGAACCCUCGGACUCAGGAAAGCUACCACACACGCUGAGGACCCUCAAGGACAGACUGUUUCCCUCGUCCUUUUCACCGCUCAGCUCUGAGCCCCCCGCACCUCCUCAGUUCCCUUUGAUUGCCCGUGUGCAGAACCUAAUCGCACUCUACAAAAUUAAAUUCCUGCUUGUCUCCAUCACGGGGAUAAGCACGUGUUUUUGUCUGUGCACCCCCAGCCAUGAUGCUCGAUAAACAUUUGUUGAGUGAAUGAACUGUGGAGUCCAUCUAAUAGUCUUUUUGUUUACGGACGCGAAGCACA
rnacentral:lncRNA from 1 species